GCGCGCUACGUCCCUCAGACUGGCUGCCCCCGAGGGUUCGCGUGAGCGGAGCACGGGGCUCGGGGUGCGGGGGGCUGGUGUGAUGGACGCAUUUGUUCUUCGGUCCCUGACGAUUGUUUCUCAUUUGCCCUCCAAGCCCCAAAUCCUGUCAGUCCACGGCCUUGAUGGAGCGGCCCCCGUGGGACGACCCUGUUGAUUGUGCUAGCGGAUGUUGUCUCCAUUCUGGAUCUGGGAAAAACUGUGGAGUGAAAGCCGGACCUGUUAGGGUUGGGACCUGAAAGCGGACUUUUUCGCUCUCAGACGGGCCCCAGGAAUUUCAUGUUUAACAGAGGUGUCUUCAAGGAGAUGAAACAAUUCAGAAUGACCUAGGCAAUGGGGUAAUUCCUAAGGCUCACCAGGAGAAAAUGAAUCCAAAUUAAGGGACAUUCUACAGAAUACCUGACCAACACUCCCUCCUAAAAACUGUCAAGGUCAUCAAGGAAUGUCUAGGAAGAAGGAAAGUCUGAGAAGUUGUCUCAGCCCAGAGGAGCCUUAAGAAGCCAUGACAGGUAGGGCGCGGUGGCUCACGCCUGUAAUCCCAGCACUUUGGGAGGUCGAGGUGGGCGGAUCAC
rnacentral:lncRNA from 1 species